CAAAAACAUGUCUUUUUGUUAUUAAUUUAAGGUCUAAUCUGCCCCCUGAUUUUUUAAAUGGCCGCAGUAUUUUGACUGUGCAAAGGUAGCAUAAUCAUUAGUCUUUUAAUUGAGGGCUGGAAUGAAUGGUUGGAUGAAAAAUAAACUGUUUCAUUAAAAUUUAAUUUGAAUUUUAUUUCUUAGUUAAAAAGCUGAGAUUUGAAUAAAAGACGAGAAGACCCUAUAGAUCUUUAUAGUUAGGUUUUUAUAAUUAUUAAGGUUAUUUUUAUUUUAAAAAUAUUAAUUAUUUUAUUGGGGUGAUAUUAAAAUUUAUAUAACUUUUAUUUUUUUUUGUUUACAUUUAUUUUUGGAAUAUUAUUAUUUUAUUAUUUGAUCCAUUAUUAUUGAUUAUUAAAUUAAGUUACCUUAGGGAUAACAGCGUAAUUUUUUUUGAGAGUUCUUAUCGAAAAAAUAGAUUGCGACCUCGAUGUUGGAUUAAGAGAGAAUUUAGGUGUAGUAGUUUAAAUUUUCAAGUCUGUUCGAC
rnacentral:rRNA from 1 species